GAUCCUUAUAUGCUUUCCAUGAGUAAGUGAUUAAGCUUUCUCAAUAAGUAGAAAAGGGUUAUGCAGAGUAGUGUCUUUGGAGUUCAUGGUUAUGGAAUGCAAUAAUACACAAAAAUGUUCUUUUAAUACACGAAAGUGUUAUUUUAAUUAAAGCAAUGUGGAUGGAAUAUAAUCAGUAUGAAAAAGUAUAAACAUGUUGAUGUAAAUAAAAAUGUGCUCCCUCAUAACUUAGAUUUCAAAUAAAAUUGUCACACACUUCAACAUGCAAUCAAAGAAGGCGUAGGUCCUUGUGUCCUGCUUUUAGUCUCAGCACCACCCAUUAUCAAAAAGAAUUUUCAUGUGCAUGGCUCAUGAAAAAGUAUGCAGCCCGCGCAUGAGGGUGUGUGUUGAAGUUAUAAUUAACAAAAAGCGUGCCUCUAUUUAAUAACUUGAGGUUUUAAAUAUCGUCACACACUUCAACACACGUUAUGAUAUCUGGUGUUCCUAGAAAUCUUCUGAGUCUUCUGAUAUUUCCUUCCCCAUUUGUUGUGUUUUACUUUUUACUUCUUCCUCCGUCUCCAAAUGAAUGUUUGUCUAGAGGCUGACGGCCAACUGUUUCUGAUAUUUCCUACCCCAUUUGUUGUGUUUUACUUUUUACUUCUCCCUCCGUCUCCAAAUGAAUGUUUGUCUAGAGGCUGACGGCCAACUGAACCUUAAGUGUACACUCACAACUGUAUGUUUGUCUAGUGGCGGAAGGCCAACUGAACCUUAAGGGUAC
rnacentral:lncRNA from 1 species